CCCAUCAGGGCUCAGGGAUUGGGGGCUGAGGAUGGGACUGGUGGGGGGGUCUCACCCUCCCUUCUUCCUGGGCCCUUAG
rnacentral:miRNA from 1 species